GAUGAAGAACACAGUGAAAUGUGAUAAGUAAUGUGAAUUGCAGAAUUCAGUGAAUCAUUGAAUCUUUGAACGCACCUUGCACCUUUUGGUAUUCCAAAAGGUACACCUGUUUGAGUGUCAU
rnacentral:rRNA from 11 species